GAUGAACGCUGGCGGCGUGCCUAAUACAUGCAAGUCGAGCGAACGGACGAGAAGCUUGCUUCUCUGAUGUUAGCGGCGGACGGGUGAGUAACACGUGGAUAACCUACCUAUAAGACUGGGAUAACUUCGGGAAACCGGAGCUAAUACCGGAUAAUAUUUUGAACCGCAUGGUUCAAAAGUGAAAGACGGUCUUGCUGUCACUUAUAGAUGGAUCCGCGCUGCAUUAGCUAGUUGGUAAGGUAACGGCUUACCAAGGCAACGAUGCAUAGCCGACCUGAGAGGGUGAUCGGCCACACGGGAACUGAGACACGGUCCAGGCUCCUACGGGAGGCAGCAGUAGGGAAUCUGCCGCAGUGGGCGAAAGUCUGACGGAGCAACGCCGCGUGAGUGAUGAAGGUCUUCGGAUCGUAAAACUCUGUUAUUAGGGAAGAACAUAUGGGUAAGUAACUGUGCACAUCUUGACGGUACCUAAUCAGAAAGCCACGGCUAACUACGU
rnacentral:rRNA from 1 species